rnacentral:rRNA from 1 species
CUACGGGGCGCACCAGUGGGGAAUAUUGGACAAUGGGGGGAAACCCUGAUCCAGCAAUGCCGCGUGUGUGAAGAAGGCCUGCGGGUUGUAAAGCACUUUCGGUUGGGAGGACUGCUUCUAGCACUAAUAUUGUUGGAAGUUGACGUUACCUUCAGAAGAAGCACCGGCUAACUCCGUGCCAGCAGCCGCGGUAAUACGGAGGGUGCAAGCGUUAAUCGGAAUUACUGGGCGUAAAGCGCGCGUAGGCGGCUAGAUCAGUCGGGUGUGAAAGCCCCGGGCUUAACCUGGGAACUGCAUCCGAUACUGUCUAGCUUGAGUACAGGAGAGGAGAGUGGAAUUCCACAUGUAGCGGUGAAAUGCGUAGAUAUGUGGAGGAGCACCAAUGGCGAAGGCAGCUCUCUGGCCUAAUACUGACGCUGAGGUGCGAAAGCGUGGGGAGCAAUCAGGAUUAGAUACCCUAGUAGUC